GUAUAGGACUUUCAAAGAGAGCUCUUUACUGCCGUCUCAUGGUGAACCAAUGAAUGGCUGUGGCUAUGAGUUAGGAGGCUGUGGUGGCUCUCCCGCGCGCUCGGCAGAAAGAUUCCACAGAGAAAAUAUAGGGAGCUGACAUGAACCAGAGCUGAGUUCCUGCACUUAGUUAUGUGUGUUUCAGAAACAGUUCUGGAGCAAAAAGCAUGAAUUAAACACAGACCCUGCCCUCAAGUAUAGCAGAGGUGAACCAGUGCAUAUCACUUAUACUCAUGGAAGACCAAGGGAAAAAAGAAGAAGGAUGUUGAAAGAACAAGAUUAGAAGACCAGCAAUGAUGAAGUUUAAGGAAGAGACACAUGGAUACACCGAUGAUAA